UUCAAUCAAAGCUUUACUGCCAUUAAAUAGAAAUCAUUAGUGAAGAGUAGCAGAAAUCAGUGAAGAUGUUUUGGUUAGAUGCUAUUCUUCCAUUAGGAAUUAUCAGUAAUUCUCAGUAUCAGUUCUUCUUAAAUCUUCACGAAUAAUUUGGGGUUUGGUUGUUUUCAAAUUUGGGUUUGAUGUUGAAGUUGUUUCUUACAAGGAUAGGUCAACAAAAAUCCCACUUGAUGCAAAGUUGGUAGCAAGCGGCACUACACGUUUAGGAUGACAAAGAUGUUUGUAGUUGGUAGCAAGCGGGCAUUACACGUUUAAGAUGACAAAGAUAAUGAUAAUAGGUAAGCUGAAAGUGAGACUUUAUUGUUGUUUGCUAUUUUAGUUGUGUAGAGUGUACAAUGUGCAGGCAAGAAAGUUUGUGUGCAAUGCUGAGAAAGUUGAAACCAAAGAAAGAAGCCACUGCAACUAAACGAAUAACCAUUGCCGAGUGUCAUGACUGCGUGUUCUAUGUAGGAGUAAAUCAGCGGCCACUAAUUUGUGGGAAUGAUCUUAAGUUCCAGGAAGUGUUUAUUUCAUUUGAUGAAUGAACUCCCAACAAUAUUUGAAGUUGUUAGUGGAGCUGUAAAGAAGCAACAAGUUAAGGAGAAAUCUUCAGUUUCAAAUCACAGCAACAACAAAUCCAAGCCCAUUUCACAAAAGUGAUUAGCCAACCCACCAGCCAAGUCUUACUCCAAGCCAAACCCUCCUCCAAUAGAAGAUGAAGAGCAAGAGUCUGACAAAGAAGAGGAUGAGCAUGGGGUUACUUUGUGUGGUGCAUGUGAUGAGAACGAUGCAUCAGAUCUAAAAGUUCGUGUCUUGAGCAGAUUAGAAUCACAUCCUCCAAGUGACGCUAAGUACUUGCAUGGCAUACUCAAGUCUAAAGGUUCGUGUCUCUUGUGUCUUGUCUGAUAUCCUAUAUCGGUUAUUAGUUUCUAGACGCAAAAAUGAAAUUAGUGUUUCUUCUCUCAGAUUCAGUUUCUUAGUACAGGGAACCAUUUUGCAAGAUUUCCUUGAUGUAAUGUUAAGUUAAUAG